UAUUGGUCAAUGGGGGCAACCCUGAUCCAGCCAUCCCGAGUGUGCGAUGAAGGCCUUCGGGUUGUAAAGCAAUUUUGGCAUGAAAGAAACGGCUCUGGCUAAUAUCUGGAGAAACUGACGGUACCUGCCGAUUACGCACCGGCUAACUACGUCCGAGCAGCCGCGGUAAUUCGUAGGGUGCAAGCGUUAAUCGGAAUUACUGGGGGUAAAGAGUGCGCAGGCGGUUCGGAAAGAAAGAUGUGAAAUCCCAGGGCUUAACCGUGGAACUGCAUUUGUAACUACCGGGCUAGAGUGUGUCAGAGGGAGGUGGAAUUCCGCGUGUAGCAGUGAAAUGCGUAGAUACGCGGAGGAACACCGAUGGCGAAGGCAGCCUCCUGGGAUAACACUGACGCUCAUGCACGAAAGCGUGGGGAGCAAACAGG
rnacentral:rRNA from 1 species